AGAUAAAAAAUAAGAAAACAACACUGUUUUGUAUAGAAUCAGCUCAAAAUCAGAGUGAGCUCAAGAUUUCAUUAUAUAGACCAGUGGGUACAAAGGAAUGUUCUAGUGCCAAUAAAAAGGCAAUACACGUACACUCUUCCAGGUCACCAGCCGUACUCCUUUCCAUAUCAGCAGCUAAAUCACCAAUUUCUUUUACACCACCCCUCAAACGAAAUGGGGAUGAAAUAACAUUGAGUUUGCUGAUUAAAAAUUGGAAGCGAGAUGGAGACAGCCCUUUAGUUAGACAGUCAGCUAUUUGGUCAUGUGAAGGGACAUAUCUGAUUUCAAGAGUCUUUUGCAGAAUUUUAUCUCUGAUGAAAUGCACAUCAAGCUCUAUGUGCUUUGUUCUAGCAUGAUAAACAGGAUUUGAUGCCAGUGCACUAGCACUCAUGUUGUCGCACCAUAUAACAGGUGUAGCAGUCAGUUUGAACUUCAUUUCAGCGAGUAAGCCUUCUAGCCAGGACAGUUCUGCAGCAAGUUGGGCCAAAGCUCUGUAUUCCGACUCCGUGCUUGAGCGAGCUACAACUGUUUGCUUCUUCGAGGACCAGGAAAUUAAAGACUCUCCCAAGAAAACACAAUAGCCAGCUACUGAUUUCCUA